CCUUCAGAACUGCAAGAAAGGAAAAUCACAGCAUGAAAUCCCUGUAUUACCAAAAACAUUGCUUUCAGUGUGGCGUUAGAAGACUUUGUGUGCUACUGUAUAGUGACUGUAGAUCAUUUAUAGCAAGCAGGUGGACAGUAAACAUAAGGAAACCACUGGAACAGAGACGUGGGAGUUGAGUCUACCCCAUCCUCUGUGACAAGCGUGGUUUCCCGCCAAUUUGCCAGAGACUCCAAAGCGACAGAUUGCUCUGUGUUGCGCUCUUCCCAGCACUCCAUCUCACAGCCAUUGCCGGUGGAGCGCUUCAAGUCUCACCCAUGACUGUAAAUGGCUGCCAGGUGGUUAUUCAUGAAGAUCUCGCAGGUAGGUUUAUCUUCGGAAGAAAAGUGUCACUUAGCAGUGACAGCAAGGUUGACUUUAUGGACUUAAAAUGGAGCAGUAAGCAGCACUGACUGGGCCUGCGUGCUCUGCUCCUCGGUAUUGCCGUUGGGUUAGAGGUUAUCAAAGGGCUUUUACAAAUGCGCUCUGACUGCAGGCAGUCAUUUUUCAGGCGUGUUUAAAGCAGUCUUUUGGCUCUUUAGUGAGAAUUUACCUCCUGUAUGUAAACACAAGAGUGUUUAGAACUGACUGACAGGUAAAAUGAAUGCCAAAGCUCAUAUAUCAGCGAGACCUGAAGGAGGGAUCGUCACCAAGUCUAGGAAUUCCCUCACUGCCUAUCAGAAAAUCCUAUUUAUCUGUUGCAGAAGUACUUAUCUACGCGCUAGAAUUAACAAAUAACUUUUAUUGGGUUCCUGUUGGGGAUUUUUUUUGGAUGCUGCUUGCACAUAGCACAACAAAACCCUGUACCAAAGCCUGAGUGACUGUAGUGCAUCCAAACAAACUCUGAGGCACCCCCUGCAGCCCCGUGAUCCGCUCCCCCGGACCCGCCAGGGCGGCGUUUCCCUACACUGAGGCUUGGAAGAAAGGAAAGGCCGAGUACGUGGAAGGAGGAACCAGAGAAUGAGUACUCAGUUCCUGACCGGAGGAACACUGGAAUCACACAGCACAGAUGUUUGUCCUGUUUCUCCAGACGUAAUUCCUGUCAGCCCUUUGGUUCUGCAUACACCCUGUUUCCUGGGCUGCGAAAGAGGUCUUUUGAUAGGAUUAUUUCAAUCCUUGUAGCUACUGAGAUAAGCUGUGAGCUUUCUACAUAUGACCUCCGAUAUCUUCGUGAUAACUCAGGUUUUGACCUUGUCAGAUGCACAAGCAGCGUGAAGAUCUGAACAAGACAAGGCUUGAACUUGUGUUUUACAACCACUAGAGUCAGUGUUUAUCAGCUUUUACAAUCUCACUGAUCAGCUGGGACUGUUAAAAGACGAGCAGUUUUCUUUGCAAGAAUUGGAACAACAGAUUUCCUACAAAGUUUACAGUAGAGGUACCUCAGCCUUGAAGGGAUCCUUUUCAUUUAGAAUCCAUGUCUUCUCUUAAGUAAUUGAUCAUCGUGCACCCGGGGACACCCAAUUCACAGCCGAGUGGGAUCAGCCUUCAUGAAUAAUCAAAAUGCCGUGGCCGUGCUGCUGCAGGAGUGUAAGCGAGCUCUGGACACGCUCCUGUUGUCAAAGGCUGACACGGGUGAGGAAGACGAGCGAGAAUACCAGCGGUGCCAAGCUUUGCUUCCUGAGGACUUGAGGACCCUUCUGGAAGAGGCAAAGGAAAUGAAGUGGCCCUUUGUGCUGGAGAAGUGGCAAUACAAACAAGACCUAGGCCCAGAAGACAAAAUAAACCUGCAAGAUAUGAUCAGCGCGAGGCUCCCCGAUUUGCUGGUUUAUUUGAAAGCCUCCAUCAUGGUCAAGGACUGCGUAACAGCAGCUGCUACUGUGUUCCUGAUUGACCGGUUCCUGUAUUGGAUUGAUGCCUCCAGCAAACUUCUUCAGAUUGCCAAGGGUCUGCACAGGCUGCAGCCCACCACGCCCAUCAGUCCUCAGGUGCUCAUCCGCCAGGCUCGCCUCUCCGUCAACGCAGGUAAACUUCUAAAAGCUGAAUAUAUCCUAAGCAACCUUAUUAAUGACAAUGGGGCAACAGGUACUUGGCGAUACGCUAAGGAAAGCGAUAGAAUUCUUGUUCAGGCUGUCUGCUUACAAAUCAGAGGACAGAUUCUGCAAAAGCUCGGGAUGUGGUAUGAGGCAGCAGAGUUGAUUUGGGCUUCAGUUGUGGGAUAUUUCAAACUUCCUCAGCCAGAUAAAAAGGGAAUUGCUACUUCCUUGGGUAUUAUGGCAGACAUCUUUGCUUCCAUGAACGAGAAGGAUUACGAACGUUUUAAAACCAAUGCUGAGAUUGACCUGAGCCUUCUCCAAGAGUUCAGUCAUCGCUUACUAUCCGCUGCAGAGGCCUGCAAGCUAGCAGCAGCUUAUAGCCAGUACACCCCACUGUUUGUCCUCACGGCCGUGAACAUCCGUGGGGUGUGUUUGCUGUCCUACAGUCACUCCAAGGACUGUCCCCCAGAAAAGAGAAAGUUCUACUUGUCCGAAGCCAAAGAAUCCUUUGAGAUUGGCCUCCUCACCAAGAAUGAUGACAGUCCCAUCACCAGCAAGCAGGAGCUCCAUAGCUUUAUUAAAGCAGCUUUCUGCCUCACAACUGUGCAUCGAUGGCUCUACGGGGAGAGCGAGAAACUCCGUGAGUUGAGGCAAGUAUGCAGGGAAGCCAUGGGAAAACUGUAUUCGUACAGCACUUCAUUUACAGAAGAGGAAGAGAAAGGAAUGCUUGCCAAAGAGAUCAUGUCUCUAAUCACCUCUGUGAAGAAACGCCUGCAAGUGGAAAGCUUCCCUAAUUCUGAUGCCAGGUCUUACGUUCCAGACAGUUAUAAAGGCACGAUGGAAAAGCCUAUCCUGCAACGGGAAGUCAGCUUUGAGAAAAUCCUUGCCACGCAUUCUCAGCAUCAUGUGUCAGUGUGUGAAGUGUUUGAAAAGACUUGCAGGAUUCAUAAAGCCACACCAGGAGAAACCCAAGCGGGAGCUUGUAUCACAACCUUAAGAACAGAAACCAGAAACAUAGACACCUUGUGUACUACUGAAGAAACAGCAUACCAGAGGAAAGGCGCUGCGAAAACGCUGAAUUCACCAACAGCAAGAAGUGGCUCAGAGAGACUCAGUGGCCAAAGAAAUAAAUACAUUGGCUCUGAUGUGAUGAAAAUUUCCUUUGAUGAAGAGAUCAAGCCAUUAGAAAUAAGUGAUCAAGAUGGUGUUUUCAGUAGACGGCAAAACAGGAGUCAAACCCCUACAUCAGAGAGCUCUUGGUGCAAGCUGUCAAAAUCGAGUUCCUCUUCCAGCUGGGAGGAACUGAACCACAGUAGCAGCAGAAAUUCUCAUGGGGAAGGGCAGCAGCAGGAAAAUGGCUCAGCAGUGGAUCAGUGUUGCACGACAGAAUCUGAUGAAAAUGGCCAAGCUGCAUACUUGUGCUCAUUACCUCCCAGAGCCUUGCCUCCAUCUCCUCGAGAGCCUCUGUGUAGUUAUUGGGAACCUUCUCAGCCUUCUGUAGAAGGAGAUAGAGCCCUGGCUGGGAGGCUGGGAGGGAAGGCGUCUCUUUGUGAAGAGCUGCGGGAGGGGAGACACCAUGGGAAGAGCUCUUCAGAAAAGAAAACAGGGGAGGUGAACCACAUGGCCUAUUCCCUCUCCGCCCCUUACUUUGUGCCUUGCAUGCAGGAGGAAGAGAAAUCUUCCUCCUGGGUCAAACUGGACUGCAGGAGCAAGGAUAGUGGCAGGGAGGGUGGUGGCACUCCCUCCUCCUCACCCCAGAGCCACUUUUUGUGGGUCAACCUGGAGGGAGAGACUCUAGGGAGCACAGAGGACCCCUUGUUUGAUGCACAGCCCUCUGCAAAUGGGGCUGCCUCUGUACUAACAACGAGCAUCCAACCAAACAUGACCGGCAACUCCUCUGUGCCUGACCAGCUGAGGGUAUCUGCCGCGAUGGGAAAGAGACCUCUCAAAGUGCCUGAAGAUGAUGCCCAGGCAGAAACAGUAGGUGACACUGAAUAUGAUUUUAUCAGUACUGGAGACUUAGUAAACAAUCAUCCUAUGGCUCCUGUCCCAGAGCAUCAGUCAGCUCCCAGUGCACCAACAGCUUUGCCCUUGGGGGGAGAGAGAUGCGUAUCUGAGCACUUUAACUGUGCCACUACUGAAGAAGAUGAAGAAAAGCCUCAGAAUGUGGUGAGCAGCAAGAGACAAUCCAGUUCAUCUCAGAGCUUAUGGUGCAAAUCAGCCCAGAGUUCUCCUGCAGGCCCAUUUAUGAACAUGAGGGGAAGUGAUUUUAUCUUCAUGCCUGGGAGAAUGCAGGAAGAAAUCCUUGAUGCUCGAUUUCUGAGGGACGAUGAUUAUGUGCAGCUUCUGGCAGGAGUAGAACAUAAUUGGCUUGUCCAGCGAUUGAUGCCUACUGGAAUUUUUAAGCCUAAACAGCUUCGUAGAGCAUACUCUGCUCUUCUUUUAAAAUACUCAAAGAAAUCGGGCCUCUGGACAGCCCAAGAGACGACUGUGUUCAUUGGGGACUACCUGAGCGUGGCAAAGGAGGGCAAACAGAGGAGCGCAUUUUGGAUACACUUUCUGCACCAAGAAGAAAUCCUAGGAAGGUACGUUGGGAAAGAAUAUAAAGACGAAAAAGGACUUCUUCAUCAUUUCAGUGAUGUGGAACGGCAAAUGACUGCCCAGUACUACGUGACAGAAUUCAACAAAAGGCUGUAUGAGCAAAAGGUCCCUACCCAAAUCUUUUAUAUCCCCUCUGCAGUGCUUCUGAUACUGGAAGACAGAACUAUAAAAGGAUGUGUGAGUGUGGAGCCCUACAUCCUCGGGGAGUUUGUGAAGCUAUCCAAUAACACCGAUGUAGUAAAGAAUGAGUACAAAGCCACAGAGUACGGUCUGGCCUACGGCCAUUUCUCCUACGAGUUCUCCAAUGGAACAGAUGUCGUUGUUGAUCUGCAAGGUUGGGUGACAGGUAAUGGGAAAGGCCUCAUCUACCUCACGGACCCCCAGAUUCAUUCUCUUAACAGCAAAGAUGUUUCACGCUCCAACUUCGGGAAGAGAGGAAUUUAUUACUUCUUUAGUAGUCAACAUAUGGAGUGCAAUGAAAUCUGUCACCGCCUUUCUUUAACAAGACCCUCAGUAGAGCUGCCAAUGUAGACACAAAGAAUGACCCGUAAGCUGGACAGUAUUUUAUCCUACACAUCUUUAGGAGGAUAUUGUCUUCGUGAGCACAGAGACGCUGAGACAACUCUUACGUGAGUUGGGUCAGUCUUUACCUGUAUGGAUUUCGCAAGUUCUGGUCUUUGCAUCCAGGCUGGUAAUAGCACGUUACCCUCUUGUGUACCAUCCGAACCCCGUGUUGUUAUAGCCAUCUGUAAUAAUUAACAGAGGAACAUGAGAAGAGUAAGAAAAGACUCCCAAAUUCAGCUGGAGGCAUACUAUGAGACUGUAUAAACUUCUCAAUCCUUUCAGACCCAGUAAGGGCAAUAGGCACCAUCUGCUCCUUGGAAAUGAAGUAUGAGAUGGAGUGAGACAAAAGCAGGAGUUGCAUUUCAACCAUCUGUAAAAUUUUCAAAAACUGGUAUAAAUGCUUCAGGGAACAAAUGGUGGUGUCUUGGUCUGCUUCAAAACCAGCAGUUUCUUACAGAGCUGUGUAUGUACAUGUACAGAUGUGACCACACAACAUCUAACAGGUGGAAAUAUGAUUUAAACUGCAACAGUUAACAGAAACUAAAGUUAAACAGUUAAGCAGAAACUUUUGCUGCUCUACGAGGUAAGAAUAGUGUUCUUGAAACCCUGAUAAUUUAGGACUGCUGCAUUUAACAAACUCUCAGGAGACCUUCCCAAGAGAGGAACAGCUCUCACUGAGGAACAGCCCAUCUCUUCUGCCUGUAACGGAACUGUGAGCACCACUAAUUUGAUGACCAAUGCUGUAACUAAUUCCCACAAAUAGUCUUGCUGGACAUGAGUGUAGCUUCUUGAACAAAAGAGCAGUUUGGGGGUGAGUCCGCUCUCUGCUAGGCACAGAGUAAGCAGCCUCAGCGCUGCUUUUGAUUCCAGCUAGGCAGGCAAAGCACCCCCUCCCUUGGAACUGCUGUUGUCAGCCUCUCCAAGAACUGUGAGGUGAAUGGUGUUCUGGAAGGAGUGCUGCCUUUCUCCGCCAAGUCCCUGACAGAAGCCGACUUGCCGUUUGCUGCCGGUAGCAAGGAUGAUGCCUCUGAUGGAUUAUGCCUCAGUGCUGGCAGAAACACAGCCUCCCAACACAGAGCUUCCACCCGGCUGCAUUUCUGGCACAUCCCUGAAAACACGUUUAUGAAAGUAAAAGAGAUGUUGAAUAAUAUUUAAGUGAUAUAUUUAUACACUGCCCCUAUCACCACCCCACACAGAGAUCCUGAUACCCUCACCCGCCUCCGCUCACAGAGCUGAGACUGACUCAGUACCUACGUGAGGAGGGGGAGCUCUUGGCCACUCUGCCUAUGCUGGGAACACGCUUUGCUAUCAUACAUGCAAACAGCUGCAACUUGGUCCUUUAACUCCAACAGUUUUGCAUUUUUUUCAUUGUUGUUUGUGCUCGUUAUCGAGAAUCCUCGGAGAGCCCCUGCUCUUUAACACCAGGAUUGAACUGCCUUUGGCAUGUAAGCUGGCCACAUGCUGCAGUAGUGCCUGCCUGGGUUAGAGGCAGCUGCACCCUUUUACUUUCUAUGAAGCAAUCUUUUGUGGUUUGUGGGUUUUGUUGAGUUUUAUUUAUAAAAAUAAAGCUUGCGAUCCAUUCACGUGACCCCCUCCGACACCUACAGCAAUUCGCAGACUGAUAACCGCUCACCUACCUCCAAGAGACACAGCGGGUGGAGUCACUCUGUCACAGUGGAUUUCAGAAGCACCGUGAGGAAAGCCAAGACCUCUCAACUUUGUGAAUUCUAGCUGAACAGCUGAAAUCCUAUUUUUUUUUCCCACGCAGCCUGGUUAGCUGAAAAGAGUCAAACCUGCUGGCAUAGUUGGGUAAUGUUUACAUAUGCUGUAGAGAAAACACCCAUAAAAAAGAGAGGAUGGGAGCUCCUCACACAAAAUGCUGUGGCCCUUGGAUGCUGAAUUAAACCAGCUGGAGUGUCUGAUUGGAAUAAUUAAAAAAAAUCCCUUAUUGACAAUAUAACUCAAAUUCAGACUAUGAUGAAAAAAAGCAUUUUCAAGUCAAACAUACUGAAUAAUGCAUUUUGUCCUCAAAAAUGCAGCUGUCCAUUUUACAUCUACUGCAGAUAGGCUUUUAAUGAGUGACAGGCCAGGAUGAGUGGGCUUCAACCCUUGUUUCCAGAGGCUGAUAAGCUGCGUGGACUUAGAGGAAGAUGCUUGUUUCAGCCUCUACCGGGGAUGCAUUGCAAAUUUUGAUCAGAAGCAGAGGGCAUAGCUUUGCAUCUACAGGUUGCAGCUGAUUAUCUGUUCCACGGGAAAAGGUGAUGUUUGUGCUGAGUUGUUUGGAAAGAUGCUGUAUCACUGCACUGACUGAUUAGAACUAGGUGUAAAGAGGGAGAAGCAAGAGAAGAAGAAAAAAAAAAUAAAUCUCUUUAUUAUGGUGCAUAAACCUUCAGUGUUGGGGAGCUGCGCAGCUGCGCAGGAAGAAAAAUGCAUUCAAAAAUAUAAUGCUAGUGUGAAUAAUCCUUUCUCGAAUGCUGCUCGCAGACUGCUUCAGCUUUGUCAGGUGAACUUGAACUGGGCCAUCAGCUUUGCUGCCGUUCCCAUUGCACACUGUCUAUCACCCCGGGGCAUUCACCAUCUUGACUGUUGUUAAAAGCGAGCAAACAAUCCAUCAUUGAGCCAGGGAGUCACUUGCUCAUAGAAAAGUAAAAUCGGCAUGUGACGGUACACUCGGCCCCAGUGUUUCGCAGAUUAAAGUGAUACAUGAAAACUCACGUGUUACUGGGAAGAUUAAGUCCGUUAUCUUGUUCUGUAGCCAAUAAAGGACAGCCUUCUCUGCAGCAGUAGGGAAAUGCUGGCUUUAACCAAGUGACAAACGCUGUGCAUACAUAGCUACGUGCUCCUGGAAAAGAGAGCGCCCAGCUCUAAAGGGGAAACAAAGCUAGUUAGCAAGAUCUCGCAAUUAAUAGGCAGCAGAGAUGCUGUGUUAAAGCCUCUCUGCAGAGGCUUUCCUUUCUCUAUAGAGACAAUUAAAAGCAAAACAAAACCUCCUGGACAAAUCUCUGUGGAACAAAGUGUCCUAAUACGCUGCCAACAGCCAGUCCUGCAGUGUGUGCUGUAACAGCACAUGGCGUUUCGAGACCCGUGGAAAGUAAUGCCUGCUCCAGCUUAUGCUCUGGUUCAAAGAAAGAACAAAAAUACAUAUUUGAAUAUGCUCCUGAAUCAAACAAUCUGUGGGAAAUGUCAAUAUUUUGAUUUCUUCCUUGUAUUUGCAUUUGGCAGCUGAUUUCUCAUGUUCGUUUGUAGCCUACGUUUUACCAUGUCAGCCAAACUUAUGGCUGCUCACAGUUAAAAGUUCGUAUCAAGCAUCGGCUUGUCCAGUUCUCCGUUAAAACAGGUAUCGGCAUAUUUAACCCAGUAACUUCUACUGGUCUUACUCUUUACCGGCUGGGGCACAAUCUCAGCGGUAUCAGUCCCUCACAAAUGCAGACACUGUCUUCGUCUAAGGCUUGGACCCUGGAAAUAUUGAAUUAAUGCACUUUAUAACCUCACUGCUUGAAGAACUUAGACGCAUACAUGGCCUGAAACACACUGAACUGAAAUUAUUGGUUCAUAUUCAUGGUAUAAAUAGGUGAUUACUGAGGGAAAUAAAUAGUUUACUCAGACUGAUGAUGGAGCAUUCGAUAUUUUGUCUCUAGCUUAGAGCUACGAAUGAAAAAUGUUGCUGAUCUGCUGUUUCCUCUGGCUUCAGAACAAAGUAAUUUGAACCAACCAAGUCUUAGGGAAUCCAGUGGUUUGCAUUAAGUAACUUGCUACCAAGGGUGCUUUUGGGGCUUGAUUAAUUAUAACUCACCCCGAAGUCCAGUGUAAGAGCUCAGUCCAGUGUAAUAGCUAUUAAGAGCCACUCACGCUGUGGUCUACAAAACAAGUGAAACGUUGCUGUGCUGGUACGGUGAAAUAUUAGCAUUAACUGUAGGGACAUGAAGUCUGAAGAAAUGUUUCCUUCUCUCGGCUGAAGCAGCCAACUGAAGGACUUGAGUUUAUAGGCAGUGUCCGCCCUGCAGCAGGUCAGGCACAAACCUGUCUGGCUCUUGAUGAGGUGAUGACAUAAUUCCCUGUCCUUCAGGGAAGAUAUUUGGUUAAAGAGGUGUUUUCCACUUACCUUUCUGCAGGUACCCAGGUCUUGUUUGCCAAGCACCGUGCGUAAUAGCUAGUAAAUUUGAUAUCAAGAGGGAAUUUGGUGCAGCGAAAGCCUGUAGACUACAGGCAGAAUGAUUUUCUCUCUCCUUUGCCAAUACCUUGCACCACUGUGAAGCACUUUGGGGAACUUCUCUUACAAAAGAUACAGUCUAAAAGGGAGACCCUUGGUCAUUCCGAUAAUACAAGGCUGAGCCAGGCUUGGCUCCGUCCCUCUCCCUCUCUGUGGGAAGCAUCUCAGGCCAUUAAGGCCAGCGGAGAGCGGGUGUGAGGUGACCCCUCCAGCUGUGAGGCAGCCCCCGCACGCGAGGCAGCACGGCCCCGCUGCCAUAAACCCGGCGUCAGCUGCCCCGCCAGCCCAGCUGCUGGAUUUAGGCAUCCAUCCUCUACCAGAAAAAGGUAUUCAUGAAUACUGAGGGGAAAGCUUCACGUGAGCAAGCUGAGAGAGGCUGCCCGUGCUGCCAAACCUCUUCUGCUUGUCUUGUGCUGAGCACAACGGCACCAGCCUCCUCGGCGAUCUCCUUCCCACUGUACAGCUUGGUAGCACAGGUGAAAUUGCUCUUCCAGGCAUAGGACUGGCACCCAGCAUGAGAAUUUUUCCAGCCCAUCCUGCUCCUCAAACAGCAGAGCCGUGGGGAAGCCCUCAGGAGGGAAAGGGAAACUGAGCCCACACAGCUGUGUACGUAGGCAUUGCGUGUGUGCUGGGAAAAGCAUGCUAUUUCCAGGUGGUGUGACGUGCUGUUGUAACCGCUGCUCUCUUGAAAUCACCAAAAUGGGGAUAUUUGCAGCAAAGUAUUGGCCAAGAGCUGCCCCUGUCACCUGCUGCCUUGGAGGAAGGUCCCUGCACCGGCACCCGAGUGCCGUCCCCAGCCCUGCAGGGAAGCCAGCAGGCUGGAGACACCCCCGCAGCAGCAGCUCUCACCCCUCUCCCGAGGAUGGCACGCACCACCCUCCUUUUUCUCUGCUUGAAUGAAAUCAUGUCCCGUGCCCCUCUGCCGAGCGGGAGCAGAUGGGGCUGUUGGCCUCUGCAGCCGCCCGCUGCCCUGGCUCGCGUGAGUCCCGGCUUCCUCCAGCCCCCCCCCAAACAGAGCUUCAUCCCAUUCUUUGAUAGGAAAACAUCUCUUCCGAGCUCUUUUUAAGAGCGUAUCUGUGUACGAAGGGCAGGGUAGUCCGGCUGGCAGCGGGUUACGCUAAGAGCCAAGCUGCUGUGCUGGCUACCGGAGCUGCUGUCCCCUCCGAGCAGGCCAUCACAUUAAUAGAGGUUGAUUUGCAAACGGCGUCACCCCCCUCCCCAGUGCCCCCCUUUGCCUGACUCCCGC